UUCCGUUCAACUAUGAACAUCGGUGAAACGUCAGUUACCUCGCGACCAUACCUCCGUGAGGGUUUAAUACGUUCGAGUUAUUUCGUGCUGUUACCACAAUAAGCGGACUUUGUUCUUUCUAUCUGUUCUACCUGCUAUUUCAUUCUUGACUUCCGUCGAGAAUGCGUGCUGUUGGUUCGACGAGUUAGGUUAAUAAAAAAACUUAUAUUAGGUAGAUACUUUUUCAUAGUAAAUUAUUCAUUGUCAGUGAUUUUUGUAUAAAAAUAAUAAUAAUAAUAAUAAGAAUAUAAUAAAAGUGAUAGAAGAAUAAGAACAAAA
rnacentral:lncRNA from 1 species